UCCGAAUUGGUGUAGUGGCUAACAUUUGACGCUCUCAUACGAGUAGCACCGUCAAGCCCGGGGUUCGAUUCCCCGAUUCGGAG